rnacentral:rRNA from 1 species
GACGAACGCUGGCGGCGUGCUUAACACAUGCAAGUCGAACGAGUGGCGAACGGGUGAGUAACACGUUGGUGAUCUUCCUUGCACUUCGGGAUAAGCUUGGGAAACUGGGUCUAACACCGGCUAGUGCAAUAUGAGCUCGCGGCCUAUCAGCUUGUUGGUGGGGUAAUGGCUACCAAGGCGCGACGGGUAGCCGGCCUGAGAGGGUGACGGGCAAGAUGGGGAAUGAGAUACGGCCAAGACUACUACGGGAGGCAGAAGGGGUGGAUAUUGCACAAUGGGCGAAAGCCUGAUGCAGCGACGCCGCGUGGGGGAUGAAGGCUUUCGGGUUGUAAACCUCUUUCGCUAUCGAACGGGUAGGUGGAGAAGAAGCGCCGGCUAACUACGUGCCAGCAGCCGCGGUAAUAC